rnacentral:lncRNA from 1 species
GACAUAGUACUAGUGCCGAUUUACACAAUCGAAUACCGCCGGAAGUAGAACAUUUAUGUCAACACCGGUUUCGUAUUUUCACGUGAAAUCGGCCGAAAACUGAGAGGUUAUCAACAAAUUAUAAGUUUACGGGUACCAUGAGGACUUUUCAUGCAUUUAAACGACAGAAGUACAAGCGAACAGAUGACACAUUGAAGUGGCUGCAGAAGCUUGAAAAGUUAGAUAGAGCAGGGACAGUCAAAACUGUGGGAUAAUACUUCUAUGUAUUUUCUUUUUAAAGGCAAUUUAUACAGGAUGGUGUCCAGCAUGUCUAGUCAGGUUGACAGAAGUGAAAGAUGGUCUGAUGGUACAAUGAUGUACAAAUGAUACUCUUUAACAACUUUAACUUGCCAAAGUGUAAAAUGUUCUGUGGAUUCAUAUGAUGAGAAUGCCAAUGUUGAUCUGUAUGACUUAAUUAAACACAGAUAUUUAUACCUUCAGAUAUAUACCUGUGAAAUCUUCAGUGUCACCGUUCAGCUAUUGUUCAAGAUCAGUGUCUGCAGCUUGCACAGUUUAGUAUAGAAGAGCCUUCUGAAUCAGUUUGUUACAUAUUUGCUGUUAUUGUAGGACGCAUAUGUAGAGAGCAACAAGUCCUGUCCAACUGUGCAUGUAAAUGUGAUUCAGAAACUUUAAGAAUAUGUAAACAUUACACUGUUAUAAUUUACAAAAUACUGUGUCUUGUAGUGUAUCAGUACUGUUUUGUCUCAGUUUAUAGCACAGUAUGUUCACAAAUCAAACUUAAGAUCAUAGUUAUCAGAAUUAUUAAAAUCAUUAAUUAUUUGUAUGGUGACAAAAUUUAAUUUCAUGCAAUACCACAGUAAAACGUUUGAUAAUUUUCGUUUUUAAAGUUGUAAGUUUAAAGUUGGCAUAAAUUGUUUGUCUCCUUCAUUAAUCUAAAAAGUGAUUGGUCAUUAUAAUUGCAAUAUCAUUUUAGUGUGACAAAGUUUAUAUUGAAC